UGCGCCGGUUCGCACGAGUUCUGGGUUUUGUUUUCUGGCUAGUGAGGAGGAACUACGUAUGUUCAAGCUUUGCUAAAGCUGGAGGAAGGGCGGAGAGCAUAAAUAUUUGAAGAAACACUGUAAAUUCUCCGGCAAACUUCCGACACGGCGUCCGGCCUUCCCCCGGCCCUCAGCGGGCACAGGGACACGGCCACAGCCCCGGCCCCGCCGCUAUUUCUGUGUGCAAAGUUAAGGCUGCGACCGACAAAAAAAAAAAAAAAAAAAAAAAAAAAAAAAAAAAAAAAAAAAAAACCCAAAGAAAAAAAAGCACGUGGAAAAACCUUAAGGUGGCCCGGGCGAGCUUAUCCCGGGCGGGAGCGGCUCGGAGCCCCCGGUGCCCUCACACGGCCCGGGGGUCCCGGCAGAACCGAGCCCCGGGACCCGCACCCGGCCCGCGGA